AUUGAACGCUGGCGGCAGGCCUAACACAUGCAAGUCGAGCGGGGUUUUCGGACCUAGCGGCGGACGGGUGAGUAAUGCGUAGGAAGCUGCCCGAUAGAGGGGGAUACCAGUUGGAAACGACUGUUAAUACCGCAUAAUGUCUACGGACCAAAGUGUGGGACCUUCGGGCCACAUGCUAUCGGACGCGCCUACGUGGGAUUAGCUAGUUGGUGAGGUAAUGGCUCACCAAGGCGACGAUCGCUAGCUGGUUUGAGAGGAUGAUCAGCCACACUGGAACUGAGACACGGUCCAGACUCCUACGGGAGGCAGCAGUGGGGAAUAUUGGACAUGGGCGCAAGCCUGAUCCAGCCAUGCCGCGUGUGUGAAGAAGGCCUUCGGGUUGUAAAGCACUUUCAGCGAGGAGGAAGGGUGGUGUGUUAAUAGCACAUCAUUUUGACGUUACUCGCAGAAGAAGCACCGGCUAACUCUGUGCCAGCCGCCGCCGUAAAAC
rnacentral:rRNA from 1 species